GCUAUACCUCUAUAAAUUCUUCUGAAGACAGUUAUUAUUGAUUAAAAUGAAAUAUAUCUGGUUUACAUUGAACAUUACUACACUAUAUGCGAUGUAUGCAAAUGCAAAAAUUUGUUUGGUCGAUGGAAAGGAAAUGAUUACUUACUUUGUGCGCAAGUCCACUGAUGCAUUCUAUUGGUGGACGUCAUAAAAUAUUUCGUAUUUGUGUUACUUUUUAAUGUUCAGACGACGUUUGAUUUCUGCUAUAAAUUUAAAUAACUAUCACGAUUUUAAUCUGUACAUGCAGUAGGUAGUAGGUACACUACACAGACACAUAGUACACAUAUGUAAAUGUGUAUAAUAGGCACUAGAUAGUAUUGUAGAAUGUAGUUGGAUGGCGGCGUUGGUAGAUACUUCUAUACAUAUAUUAUAAUUAAUCAAAUAUUCAGGUGAAUAAAGCGGUUUAGCGAAAGAAAUUCUGUUGUGGAACACUGCUAUGGAACAGGUGCAGUUGGCUAGAUAACCGAGUAAUACUAAUGAUGAUAGUCGCUGAUGAUGAAUAAACGGCGAUGGAGCAAUAAUAGGACGGGGUCAUUAAAUUAGGGAAACACGAUUUUUCGGCAUUGGCCAUUGUUUCGGAGUCAUAGGUACCACUACUACUUUAUACUACCU